GAAGAUAAUUAAUUCCUUUUUGCUCCAAUUUGAUCUCCAUGAAUUACAAAGCAUUAUUCUUAGCUUGUUUUAUCAUAAUCCUCUGUUCAUCCUCAGCAACCUCUAGGAGAUUGCCAGGUUAUAGAUGCAAUGCCUAUAAAUUUCGAGAAGAAUCGUGUUCACCACGUAGAUCCCUCUACCUUAGAUCUGCGAAACCAUAUAUUCAACCACCAGAUUCAAUAUCGUCACCUGAUCGUGGAUCAUGAACAGAAGAUUAAUUGAGUAACAACAAAAAUUAUAUUGAGCAACAACUUACUAUUAUAUUUAUGUUUAAUUAAAUAUGGUGUUGGAGUUGGACAAUUGUAUGUUUGGA